rnacentral:rRNA from 1 species
AGAACGAACGCUGGCGGCAUGCCUAACACAUGCAAGUCGAACGAGACCUUCGGGUCUAGUGGCGCACGGGUGCGUAACGCGUGGGAAUCUGCCCUUAGGUACGGAAUAACAGUGAGAAAUUACUGCUAAUACCGUAUGAUGUCUUCGGACCAAAGAUUUAUCGCCUAGGGAUGAGCCCGCGUUGGAUUAGCUAGUUGGUGGGGUAAAGGCCUACCAAGGCGACGAUCUAUAGCUGGUCUGAGAGGAUGAUCAGCCACACUGGGACUGAGACACGGCCCAGACUCCUACGGGAGGCAGCAGUGGGGAAUAUUGGACAAUGGGCGAAAGCCUGAUCCAGCAAUGCCGCGUGAGUGAAGAAGGCCUUCGGGUUGUAAAGCUCUUUUACCCGGGAAGAUAAUGACUGUACCGGGAGAAGUAAGCCCCGGCUAACCUCCGCGCCAGCAGCCGC